rnacentral:lncRNA from 1 species
UGUCAGAGUGAACGGUUCUGUGUGUGUUGUUUGAAGGUCAGUGAUGGCAGCUUAUGUGCAGUCACUGGGAUGCCGGACGAUGAGCUGGCGGUCAGUUGCAGCGACUGCUCUGUCUGUAUCUGGAAGCUGGAGCGGGACUCCAAGAAGUGCAUUAUGGGGCUCGAUAAGGUGUCUUCAUACAAAGUGGAGUCUCCUUUGAGCUUUUUGUUUUACUGUGGCAGUCUGUUUGGAGUGUAUAUGGGUGGAACAGUCACUGAUGUGCUCUCUAGUAAAGCAGCUUAUAACUGGUUAAGAAGGGUAUGUCCUCUCGGCGUGAUGGCGAAUGACAGCAAGAGCUUUUGGCUGUUGGGCCAGAAACAGGGCGUUCUGUACGUUGGCCUCGUUGUAAGUUCAUCAUCUGUCAUUAUCAUUUGA